rnacentral:rRNA from 1 species
UACGAAGGGGGCUAGCGUUGCUCGGAAUCACUGGGCGUAAAGGGUGCGUAGGCGGCUCUUUAAGUCAGGGGUGAAAUCCUGGAGCUCAACUCCAGAACUGCCUUUGAUACUGAGGAUCUUGAGUUCGGGAGAGGUGAGUGGAACUGCGAGUGUAGAGGUGAAAUUCGUAGAUAUUGGGAAGAACACCAGUGGCGAAGGCGGCUCACUGGCCCGAUACUGACGCUGAGACCCGAAAGCCAGGGGAGCGAACCGG